rnacentral:rRNA from 1 species
GAUGAACGCUGGCGGCGUGCCUAAUACAUGCAAGUCGAGCGAACAGACGAGGAGCUUGCUCCUUCGACGUUAGCGGCGGACGGGUGAGUAACACGUAGGUAACCUACCUAUAAGACUGGGACAACUUCGGGAAACCGGAGCUAAUACCGGAUAAUAUUUCGAACCGCAUGGUUCGAUAGUGAAAGAUGGCUUUGCUAUCACUUAUAGAUGGACCUGCGCCGUAUUAGCUAGUUGGUAAGGUAACGGCUUACCAAGGCAACGAUACGUAGCCGACCUGAGAGAGUGGUCGGCCACACUGAAACUGAGACACGGUCCAGACUCCUACGGGAGGCAGCAGUAGGGGAUCUUCCGCAAUGGGCGGAAGCCUGACGGAGCAACGCCGCGUGAGUGAUGAAGGUCUUCGGAUCGUAAAACUCUGUUAUUAGGGAAGAACGAACGUGUAAGUAACUGUGCACGUCUUGACGGUACCUAAUCAGAAAGCCACGGCUAACUACGUG